CCUACGGGUGGCAGCAGUGGGGAAUAUUGGACAAUGGGAGGAACCCUGAUCCAGCCAUGCCGCGUGUGUGAAGAAGGCCCUCGGGUUGUAAAGCACUUUCAGUGAGGAAGAACGCCUGGUGGUUAAUACCCAUCAGGAAAGACAUCACUCACAGAAGAAGCACCGGCUAACUCCGUGCCAGCAGCCGCGGUAAUACGGAGGGUGCGAGCGUUAAUCGGAAUUACUGGGCGUAAAGCGCGCGUAGGUGGCUUGAUAAGCCGGUUGUGAAAGCCCCGGGCUCAACCUGGGAACGGCAUCCGGAACUGUCAAGCUAGAGUGCAGGAGAGGAAGGUAGAAUUCCCGGUGUAGCGGUGAAAUGCGUAGAGAUCGGGAGGAAUACCAGUGGCGAAGGCGGCCUUCUGGACUGACACUGACACUGAGGUGCGAAAGCGUGGGUAGCAAACAGGAUUAGAUACCCUAGUAGUC
rnacentral:rRNA from 1 species